AUGCACCGCGUCAUCGCUGAGAACCUCUCCAUAGUCGCCGACGUGGAUUGUGAGCAACUGAGUUGCAGGCUUACACCGAAGGUCGCGGGAGUAACGAUCUCCACACUUGAAGCAGAGGUCGUUGGCACGCCGGUGCUCGCGCAGUUGACGCUCUCGCGCCAGAUCGUCGUUGGGCACGCCCACGGCGCCAGGCCGCGGCGCCGUCGGGGCCCGCGGAGGAAGCUGGAGGGGUGGUGGUGGUGGUGGUGGCCAGCCCACCGGAAUAAUGCGCGAUCGAGCAUGUUGUGUGCCCACUUCCUCUUCGACGAUCCGGGCCAACACCGCCGCGCGUGUGAGACUGGACGGCUCCUGGAGGCGGACUGCCGCCCGCAGAUCGUCGCGCAAACCCAGCAGGAACUGCGUGACGAACAGCUUGGGAUUGAGCGACGCGUCAAGGGCGAGCAGGUGGUACAUGUGCGUCUCGAACGCCGUUCUGUACUCGGCGACGGUGCCGGUCUGACGAAGCUGGAGCAGCUGGUGCAUCUCUGUCUCGAACUCGUCUGGCACGAAUUCGCUGAUGAUGGCCGCGGUGAACUCCUCCCAGUUCGGCACACGGUGUGUCUGCCUGUAUGCCUGGUACCAGCGUGCCGCAUGGCCAUCGAUGUAGAGAGAGGCCGUGGUCACCCAACUGUGCGGCGGAACUCGGUACAGCUCGAAGUAGGUGAUGCAUCGGUCGAUCCAGAGGUUGGGCGAGUCACCGUCGAAGUGAGGGAAAUCAUGCUUGGCCGGCUUGACCAUGUACUCGUCGCGCGGUCCGUGGUGCGCGUCGCGGCCCACCAUGAACGCCGCCGGCUGCCCUGCGCCCGUGAACUGGGGAGGAUGCCGCAACGGCAGCAGGGGCGGCCCGUUGUUGGCGAGGCGCACAGCAGGGCCCUGAGGAAGAGGCCCGCGCGCAUGCUCCAUCGCCGUGACCGCGGAGGCCUGCGUGUCGCCGUCGUGGUGGUCGGCGUCCCUCGGUCGGUGAGGCGCAGUGGCCGCAGGUGA
rnacentral:rRNA from 1 species